GAGAUAGUGGCAUUCAAGCAUUAGCAAAAACACUACUGACUGACUAUGGUUUCCUCAUUCAGCAUCUGUCGACCUGUUGACAAUAACACACACAGGAGGUUAACCAUUUUAACAACACGUCUCAAGUGUAACAGUGGUAGGCCCAAUGGCACUGUUAGUGAAAGUACAGGAAGGGAAGGUAGGCCUAAGAGUAGGCUGACACUAGGCUGCCGUUACCCCUAGCUGAACAGCGGUAGGCCCAAUGGCACUGUUAGUGAAAGUACAGGAAGGGAAGGUAGGCCUAAGAGUAGGCUGACACUAGGCUGCCGUUACCCCUAGCUGAACAGCGGUAGGCCCAAUGGCACUGUUAGUGAAAGUACAGGAAGGGAAGGUAGGCCUAAGAGUAGGCUGACACUAGGCUGCCGUUACCCCUAGCUGAACAGCGGUAGGCCCAAUGGCACUGUUAGUGAAAGUACAGGAAGGGAAGGUAGGCCUAAGAGUAGGCUGACACUAGGCUGCCGUUACCCCUAGCUGAACAGUGGUAGGCCCAAUGGCACUGUUAGUGAAAGUACAGGAAGGGAAGGUAGGCCUAAGAGUAGGCUGACACUAGGCUGCCGUUACCCCUAGCUGAACAGCGGUAGGCCCAAUGGCACUGUUAGUGAAAGUACAGGAAGGGAAGGUAGGCCUAAGAGUAGGCUGACACUAGGCUGCCGUUACCCCUAGCUGAACAGCGGUAGGCCCAAUGGCACUGUUAGUGAAAGUACAGGAAGGGAAGGUAGGCCUAAGAGUAGGCUGACACUAGGCUGCCGUUACCCCUAGCUGAACAGCGGUAGGCCCAAUGGCACUGUUAGUGAAAGUACAGGAAGGGAAGGUAGGCCUAAGAGUAGGCUGACACUAGGCUGCCGUUACCCCUAGCUGAACAGUGGUAGGCCCAAUGGCACUGUUAGUGAAAGUACAGGAAGGGAAGGUAGGCCUAAGAGUAGGCUGACACUAGGCUGCCGUUACCCCUAGCUGAACAGCGGUAGGCCCAAUGGCACUGUUAGUGAAAGUACAGGAAGGGAAGGUAGGCCUAAGAGUAGGCUGACACUAGGCUGCCGUUACCCCUAGCUGAACAGUGGUAGGCCCAAUGGCACUGUUAGUGAAAGUACAGGAAGGGAAGGUAGGCCUAAGAGUAGGCUAACACUAAGGUUGCCGUUACCCCUAGCUGACAAUGUACUGUUGGGGGGAUUCACACAAUAUUGACAAUGUAAUGUCUCUUGUCAUUGGCGCUCGUAUGUACC